rnacentral:rRNA from 1 species
UACGAAGGGGGCUAGCGUUGCUCGGAAUCACUGGGCGUAAAGGGUGCGUAGGCGGGUUUUUAAGUCAGGGGUGAAAUCCUGGAGCUCAACUCCAGAACUGCCUUUGAUACUGGGGGUCUCGAGGGAGGUAGGGGCGUGCGGAACUUCCGGUGGAGCGGUGAAAUGCGUAGAUAUCGGAAGGAACACCGGUGGCGAAAGCGGCGCGCUGGACCUCUUCUGACGCUGAGGCGCGAAAGCCAGGGGAGCAAACGGG